UCAACAGCAGCUGCUGAAGGCCACCCCAGAGGAGAAUUUUCCACUGCCUGGUUUCAUUUAGUUCAGGCCUACACUGCUGCCCGGGCUGUUUAUAGGGAGGAAGAGGGAGGACGGGGUAUCCACAGGGGUACAGUGUGACUGUUGGGUCUGGAACGCUGCAGGGCCCUGGCCCAGUGGGCUUGAGGUGCAGGUCUGACUCAGCAGCUGGCAGCUGGACUGCUGGGAUGCAAGGAGACCUCCUAUUUUCAGGUGACAGGAAGAGGACAGGGCCUUGGUCAGAGAGGUGGAGGACACAGCCAAGGACCACUGCCUCCCUCAGUGACUCCCCGUCUCAGCGGGCCUGGGGAGACACCCUGAGUGGUGAACGCUCCCCACUCCCUAACACCGUGCCUCCCUCCCGGACGUGCCACCCCCUCCAGCCUGCUUCUGUUUUCAUUCCAGCCUGUGGAUCCGGUCAUGGGAAGCAGGUGCAGGAGCCUGCAGGGGAGAGACUGGCUGAACCGAGACUCUGAGGAGAGCCCGAGCUCCGUCCCCGCGGUGCCCAAGGGACCAUGGCCUUAUCCGCUCUGGACUGGUAGUGGCAGCCUGGGGUGCACUAAAGUGGCUCUAAAGCCUUGUGAAGUAGAAAUGAAAAACAAAGUAAAACAUUCA